rnacentral:rRNA from 1 species
AACGCGAAGAACCUUACCGGGGCUUGACAUCCUGCGACAUCCUAGGAGACUAGGUUUCCGGGCAACCGGACGCAGAGACAGGUGCUGCAUGGCUGUCGUCAGCUCGUGCCGUGAGGUGUUGGGUUAAGUCCCGCAACGAGCGCAACCCUUGCCGUGUGUUGGUCGCAAGAUCUCUCACGCGGGACCGCCGGUGACAAGCCGGAGGAAGGUGGGGAUGAUGUCAAGUCAGCAUGGCCCUUACGUCCCGGGCUACACACGUGCUACAAUGGGAGGGACAACGAGUCGCGAACCCGCGAGGGCAAGCUAAUCUCACAAACCCUCUCUCAGUUCGGAUUGAAGGCUGCAACUCGCCUUCAUGAAGUCGGAAUCGCUAGUAACCGUAGAUCAGCUACGCUGCGGUGAAUACGUUCCCGGGCCUUGUA